GGUGUAGGAUGGGGGGCCUCCUGUGGUAGCCCCAAGAAGGGGUGGGGAGGAGAGUGGUGCUGCUGCAGAAAGGGGCAGGUCUGUCAGUCCUCAGUGCCCCCUCCCCAGGUUCCCAUUCCCAGCCUGGCCUAAGGACCGUACAAAGGGAGGGAGUACUCCCGGCCCGGCCCAGCCAGCGACAUUUCUUGGAGUGGACAAGAAAGGAAGGGACAGUGCAUCAUGGAGAGGCCACACCCGUGCCAUGGAGAGAGUGCCAGUGCUGUUCUUUACUAUUUGUGCGACCUUGGAUAAUCCCCCUUUUCUUACGAGGUGCCAGUGGCGACAGACAGGGAGAAAGAAAGAAAAAUUCAAUUCAACACGACCAGCCGUUAUUGAGCCCCGAUUCUGCGCCAGGCGUGACGUUAGAUGAGGAAACUGAGGCCCAGAAGGAAAAGGCUUGCUGAGGGUCACCCAGAUGGUAAACAGAGGAGUUGGGGUUGGAACCCAGCCUUGUUCCAAGACGAGCACUCUAUCCACGGCCCCCAGGGAGAACUGAUGAAGGACGAAGGAAAGGAAGCAGCCCGUGGGAAGGCCAGGCUAGGGCCCCAAACUGAGUCUGGGCUGUCUAGCUUGUGAACGGGGGAGAGGUGGAGAGAGAGACAGCAUGGGGGUGGACUGGUGUGACCUGGAAUCCUCAAGGUGGGUGCAAUGGGUAUGUUAUCAGGCUAACUUGGGC